CUUCCUGAUUGCGCAGAGGGCUGUUGUCUGGGACGGUGAUCUGAUGGUGAUAUUCCUUUGCUAUAUUUCUGGAACACCUGCAUUCUAAAUCCAGACAGUUCAAGCCUAUGAUUCCAGCUCUGGAAUAAUCUGACAUGUGCUUCUGACCUCUGCAGAGUUGUAGCAAUAUGGGACUCACCACUCCAGAGAAUCACCGCCCUUUGUGUGGGAGCCAGGCAUGAAGCAGUGUGCUGACAAUAAACAGACAGAGUGGAACCGCCCCGAAGCAUAAACGGCAUUUCUUCCCUCUCAACGUUUUCAGUUUCUUGCUGUAGCUGAAACUCAGCUUGUCAGCCCUGAGAUGAGUGCUACAGAGCCUGCAGAGGCUUUUCUGAGCAUGUUCAGUACCAAAGACAGACUGCAGGAAGGCAAGAACGGUAAAAAGCUCCAAGGAGAAUGUCUCAGAAUUGUCUCCCCCGCGUCUCCUGCUGCGCUUUACUGCUGCUAUGCAGUGAUCAUGGUCCUCAGUGUAGCUGUGAUUGCACUUUCUGUGGCUCUGUCAUUGUCAGGAGAAAAGCCAGACCAAAAAAAAUAUGCUACUUGCCCAAGAAACUGGAUUGGAUUUGGGAAUAAAUGUUUUUAUUUUUCUGAAGACUCAAGCAACUGGACAUUCAGUAAGAACUUCUGCAUGGAACUAAACGCCCAGCUAGCUCGAUUUGACAACAUGGAGGAACUGAAUUUCAUAAACAGAUACAAAGGGACCUUUGACUACUGGAUCGGCCUGCACAGAGAAUCACCACAGCACCAUUGGAAAUGGAUGGACAACACGAAAUAUAACAACUCGGUUCCCCUCCGAGGAGUGGAAGACUAUGCCUACCUGAACAACAAUAGGAUCAGCACUGCCAGGAUCUAUGCAGACAGGAGAUGGAUCUGUAGCAAGCCCAACAACUAUAUCCUGCAAUGCCAAAUUCCUUUUGCCUCUUUCUAGUCUUUGUCAAGAGAUGCUUUGCAACCUAAUAUCUACAGUUGCCGCUCUAUCCCCUGUUUGCCAACAUUGUUAUAAAAAAGAAUUGACUGCCAACUGGGUCACAGGAGCAUCCAGGCAUCAUGUAUCCUCCCUGAUGACAAUAGGUCCGAGAGCACUUCUGGGACAGCAAGUAUUUGGCAAGAGGUGGUAUGUGUCCUAUAUGAUCAAACAUUCAGCCAAUAUUUAAAUCUUCACCUAAACAAAGCCAAGCAUGUCCAUCUAAAAAAAAAAACUGAGAAUAUUUCUUUACAUCCAAAUGAGGAACAUAUUGGAGAACUGCACAACCAGGGGUUUAGAAGAACAUAGAUUA